GCGCGCAUAGUACAGGGGUUAGUAUAUCAACCUUCCACCGCAGAAUAGUUGAUGACGUGAGUUCGAGUCUCGCUGCGCGCA
rnacentral:tRNA from 1 species